ACCAUCUGAUCCAAGGAUUGGCUAGCUCCUUCUCAUGGCGUAUAUAACAAAUAUCGCAAGUGUUUUAUGCAUGGCACUUGCUCUUGUGGUAGUGUUUACGGCUCUCCAAUCAUGUCAUGCAACAGGAAGGCCCAUAGGUAUGUACAUCUUUCUUGUUUUAAUGUCAUUUUCUUCUUGCAACUUGCACUAUUUAAGAUGAUGGAAGUGAGUCUUCUCUGCACUAUUUAAGCGAGUCCUCUUUGGAGUAUGCAUUGUUACUAAUUGUGUUUGGUAGUUUCUCUUCUGUGUGUAGGUAAUGAGCAGGAGGUUUUCAAGGUGUGCUACGCGUCGCCAAAAUGUAACCUCGAGGAAUGCAAGAGUUAUUGUGCAGUCAGCCGUUAUGGUCCAUCAGAAGGCUCAUGUGACGUAUACAAUGGGAAGUUAAAAUGUUGUUGCCAAUAUUCUUAGGAGGCUCUUGCUUGUAAAGCUUAAAUGAAGAGUGCAUUGGUGCCCAUGAUCUGAUUUAUGUAAUCAUGCAGAAAACCCAAGAAAAC
rnacentral:lncRNA from 1 species